AUUAAAAGUAUUUUCUGCUCAGUGUUUUUUAAAUAGCCGCAGUAAUUUGACUGUGCAAAGGUAGCAUAAUAAUUUGUUUCAUAAUUGGGGACUAGCAUGAAUGGAAUUAUGAAAGUUUUUCUUUUUUAAUUUUUUUUUUAUAAUUUGUAGUUAAUGUGAAGAUACAUUAUUUUUUUAAAAAGACAAGAAGACCCUUUUGAGCUUUAAUUUAAUUGGGGCGAUUAAAGAAGACUUCUUUUUAUUUUGAACCAGAUUUUUUGGUUUUUAGAAUAAGUUACCAAAGGGAUAACAGCGUAAUUUUUUUUAAGAGUUCUUAUUAAAAAAAAAGAUUACGACCUCGAUGUUGACUUAUAAUUUCCUAUUGGUGCAGUAGCUAAAAUAGGUAGGU
rnacentral:rRNA from 1 species